AUUCCAUGAUGCGGACAUUCUAGGAUGUAGUCUUGGAAGCGCUCCCAUGCUUCUAGAACGGAUUCAUCUAGUUGUUGCUGAAAACUUAUAAUUUCCCCACGGAGAGC
rfam:Sorghum bicolor cultivar BTx623 chromosome 5, whole genome shotgun sequence.